rnacentral:rRNA from 1 species
AUACCAGGUGCUGUAAGCAU